rnacentral:rRNA from 1 species
AACGAACGCUGGCGGCAUGCCUAACACAUGCAAGUCGAACGAGACCUUCGGGUCUAGUGGCGCACGGGUGCGUAACGCGUGGGAAUCUGCCCUUGGGUUCGGAACAACAGUUGGAAACGACUGCUAAUACCGGAUGAUGACUUCGGUCCAAAGAUUUAUCGCCAAAGGAGGGGCCCGCGUAGGAUUAGCUUGUUGGUGAGGUAAAAGCUCACCAAGGCGACGAUCCGUAGCUGGUCUGAGAGGAUGAUCAGCCACACUGGGACUGAGACACGGCCCAGACUCCUACGGGAGGCAGCAGUGGGGAAUAUUGGACAAUGGGCGAAAGCCUGAUCCAGCAAUGCCGCGUGAGUGAUGAAGGCCUUAGGGUUGUAAAGCUCUUUUACCCGGGAUGAUAAUGACAGUACCGGGAGAAUAAGCCCCGGCUAACUCCGUGCCAGCCGCCGCCGUAAAAC